UGGGGUUGAGAAUCUGAACGCGACCAAUGAAGUGAAGUUUCGCAGCUGUCAACAAAAAAUAAAUACAUCGAAUUUAUUUUUUCAAACAAAUUCAAGUUCUUCCUAAAAUCAUUGUUUUAAUGGUAAUGAAAUUAAACACAUUAAUAUGAAUUUGUCAAUUGUUUACAAAGGGGAGGUAACCUUUAUCUUACACAUUCAUUCAUUUUUUUUUUAAUUUUUAGCUUUCAAUUGUGUAGGAAAAAAUUGCUGCAUUACCGUUAGCAAUGUAUUGCAAGUAGAGUGAUUGAAAAGAGUUUUAGCAUUCUCUCGUUGAUAAAUCAAAUCGUGAAUAUAUUCGCUGCUUUUCGAAGUGAUAAUUUCAGUUCCAAGCACAUCUUUCAAGGGAAAACGCUCCAGAAUCUUGAUCACACAUAAAGAAAAGAGAGGAAAGUGUAAGACUGCUUGAACUCAAAGGAAACAUACGGAAUGAAGAAAAUUACUGAGAUGAGAUGGAUGCUUUUUCAUCUUGACCCUCCAUUCAAUAUAUGUACAUAUCUUGGUGUUCCAAAGACUCAAAACAAUGUUUAGUUUCAACUUAAAAGUCAAUACCUCUUAAAAGUUUUUCCAAAAUUGGGGAGGGAAUCAUUCGGCUAUGUUACUAUUGUGGACGCAUUUGAAUGAAAUUCAUUGGAAAACAGUCCUGGAGCUUUGGAUGGAAAGCACAGUAUGGUUUAAGCGCCAGUACAUUCAUAACCAUAAAAAACAUAACUCUACCGUGUUGACGACAAUGUGCGACGCCAGUUAUUCGCUUAUGAUGUGUGAUGUUGGCGGGCCAGGAAGAUAAAUCAAUGGUAGAGUGAUCCAAAACUGUGAAUAAGAUAAACAGCUGCAAAGAAAUACUUCCAUUUCCAACCCCUAGUGAGGUGGUUCGUAAGUGAUUAUUGAUGUUAAACCAUAGAACCAAUGCAGAAAAUGAAAGGAGAAGAAAUAUUUUUUUGAUGAAAGAGUUUUUAACUACAGAAUGAGCAUUGAGCAGAGCUACAUAUCUUAUAUGUUUUCGAAAAAUAGAAUGUAAUGUUUUUUUUAUAAAAAAGAGAAAAUAGCACCAGACUAUGUAUUCAAAAUAACGUAGGAUGUAUUUCUCAGAUUUGUACAGAUUAGGAACAACAUUUUCUUUUGAAAAAGAGGCAACUGAAUCUGGAUCUGGGACUUCUGAUACUGUGACCUCGAUACUCGAUUGUGGAACCUGGAACCUCGACUGGAAUUGGAUGACUUUGGGAAGUUGUGAAUCCAUUAUUGGCCUAUUUUUCACUGCAGAACACAUAAAAACACAUGAAUGCCUUUCAAAACCAUUGCUUAUUUUAUUUUGAUUAAAUGCAAGAGGCAUUUCUUCUUUCAUAAAAAUCUAUAUAUGAUGGAAUAUUGUAGAUUGUCACACACGACACAGUCUUCGCCGAUUUGGACUAAAUCCAGUUGUUAUUCUUUGCUGCGUUGUAUCUAGACUUAUAUCCAGACUCCAGAGUUUGCAUUUUGUUGCUGCAGUGAGGUGGGAAUGUAAAAAGUGUUAUGCCAUGCGUCUUCGAAAAAUUUACGAUUUAACACCGUUAGUCCUCGUUAUCGUCAUCGUCAAGAAUCAUUUCAAUCUCGCCAUCACCGUCCACAUCAUCGACACUCAAAAA